UACGAAGGGGGGCUAGCGUUGUUCGGAAUUACUGGGCGUAAAGCGCACGUAGGCGGAUACUUAAGUCAGGGGUGAAAUCCCGGGGCUCAACCCCGGAACUGCCUUUGAUACUGGGUAUCUCGAGUCCGGAAGAGGUGAGUGGAAUUCCGAGUGUAGAGGUGAAAUUCGUAGAUAUUCGGAGGGAACACCAGUGGCGAAGGCGGCUCACUGGUCCGGUACUGACGCUGAGGUGCGAAAGCGUGGGGAGCAAACAGG
rnacentral:rRNA from 1 species